GGCCACCGGCUUGCGGUUGCCUCUCGGUUAUACCCUUGUCCGGUGGUCCUCCUCGCGGGGACGCCGUGGGCCUUUGCUGGUUUGCGGAUGUGAACCGUGACGUUUACUUUGAAAAAAUUAGAGUGUUUAAAGCAGGCUUUUGCUAUGAAUACAUUAGCAUGGAAUAAUAAUCUAGGACUUCGGUUCUAUUUUGUUGGUUUCUAGGGCUGAAGUA
rnacentral:rRNA from 1 species